rnacentral:tRNA from 1 species
GAUUAUUUAGUUUAUAAAAAACAACUGUUUUGAAAACAGUAAAAAAGAAUCAAUUAUCUUAAUAAUCU